AUUGAACGCUAGCGGGAUGCUUUACACAUGCAAGUCGAACGGAGUGGCGGACGGGAUGGUAAUAUAUCGGAACGGUCCCAGUAGCGGGGUAUAACUACGCGAAAGAAUGGCUAAUACCGCAUACUAUUGGCGCGGCCGGUAUCGGAUUAGCUAGGUGGUGGGGUAAAGGCUCACCAAGGCAACGAUCCGGAGCUGGUUUGAGAGGACGACCAGCCACACUGGGACUGAGACACGGCCCAGACUCCUACGGGAGGCAGCAGUGGGGAAUUUUGGACAAUGGGGGAAACCCUGAUCCAGCCAUCCCGCGUGUAUGAUGAAGGCCUUCGGGUUGUAAAGCACUUUUGGCAGAGAAGCGGUACCUGCAGAAUAAGCACCGGCUAACUACGUGCCAGCAGCCGCGGUAAUAC
rnacentral:rRNA from 1 species